rnacentral:rRNA from 1 species
GACGAACGCUGGCGGCGUGCUUAACACAUGCAAGUCGAACGGAAAGGCCCUGCUUUUGUGGGGUGCUCGAGUGGCGAACGGGUGAGUAACACGUGAGUAACCUGCCCUUGACUUUGGGAUAACUUCAGGAAACUGGGGCUAAUACCGGAUAGGAGCUCCUGCUGCAUGGGGGGGGUUGGAAAGUUUCGGCGGUUGGGGAUGGACUCGCGGCUUAUCAGCUUGUUGGUGGGGUAGUGGCUUACCAAGGCUUUGACGGGUAGCCGGCCUGAGAGGGUGACCGGCCACAAUGGGACUGCGAUACGGCCCAGACUCCUACGGGAGGCAGCAGGGGGGAAUAUUGCACAAUGGGCGGAAGCCUGAGGCAGCAACGCCGCGUGCGGGAUGACGGCCUUCGGGUUGUAAACCGCUUUCGCCUGUGACGAAGCGGGAGUGACGGUAAUGGGUAAAGAAGCACCGGCUAACUACGUG